GUCUAGAUACAGAGCUAUGCUGUCAGGCUAAAGAGGGCUGGAUAGAGGGAACCAAUUAGGUGGUCUGUGGGGGUGCUGGAGGCAGAUUAAAGGGGACAGGAUGGAAACAACAAUAGGAAAUAUAUUUAGCCCGAUGAAGUUGCAUUGACUGACUGGAUCACACGCAGAGAAGGGCAAACGGAUGCCAUUACCAGAGCUCUCAACUCGAACUUCAGGUCAAAUCGGGAACUUUUUCAAAUCCACACUCUGCUGACAGGAAUACUCCUGUCACCUUCUCUCCAGACACCUUGCUGCCUAGAACAGAAACCAUGCCCCGGAGGACGUUACCUUUUCCGCUUUGGAACUCUCACUCUGCCUGGCCCGGGCCUUGGCAAGGAAUUUCCAUCACUAAAUUGACGCAUCUUCAAUCCCCUGAUUCCAAACUGGUUUUAAAUAAGCUCUCAGGGUGGGACAGAGUCCCUCAACAAAUGCAGACUUCUAGGGCAGCAGCACUCUAGUUCAUCUGAUGUUUUUCAGAAGAGACAAGUAAAUGGAUUAGGGACUUUUCAAUUUUAAUUUAAAUGCCAUAGCUGACUGCCUCAUUGAUUCAAUAAAGGGAUCCAAUGUCCAUACUUCUGAGCA
rnacentral:lncRNA from 1 species